AUUGAACGCUGGCGGCAGGCCUAACACAUGCCAGUCGAGCGGAUGAAGGGAGCUUGCUCCUGGAUUCAGCGGCGGACGGGUGAGUAAUGCCUAGGAAUCUGCCUGGUAGUGGGGGAUAACGUCCGGAAACGGGCGCUAAUACCGCAUACGUCCUGAGGGAGAAAGUGGGGGAUCUUCGGACCUCACGCUAUCAGAUGAGCCUAGGUCGGAUUAGCUAGUUGGUGGGGUAAAGGCCUACCAAGGCGACGAUCCGUAACUGGUCUGAGGGGAUGAUCAGUCACACUGGAACUGAGACACGGUCCAGACUCCUACGGGAGGCAGCAGUGGGGAAUAUUGGACAAUGGGCGAAAGCCUGAUCCAGCCAUGCCGCGUGUGUGAAGAAGGUCUUCGGAUUGUAAAGCACUUUAAGUUGGGAGGAAGGGCAGUAAGUUAAUACCUUGCUGUUUUGACGUUACCAACAGAAUAAGCACCGGCUAACUUCGUG
rnacentral:rRNA from 1 species